GGCAUUGUAGCUGAAUGGUAAAGCGCUUGGCUUACAAACUGGCAAGCCUAGGGUUUGAAUCUCUGUGAAGAUA
rnacentral:tRNA from 1 species